rnacentral:rRNA from 1 species
GAUUUAUCGGUAACGGAUGGGGAUGCGUGACAUUAGAUAGUAGGCGGGGGUAACGGCCCACCUAGUCUACGAUGUCUAGGGGGUUCUGAGAGGAAGGUCCCCCACACUGGAACUGAGACACGGUCCAGACUCCUACGGGAGGCAGCAGUGAGGGAAUAUUGGUCAAUGGUCGGAAGACUGAACCAGCCAAGUAGCGUGAAGGAUGAAGGUUCUAUGGAUUGUAAACUUCUUUUAUACGGGAAUAAAACACCUUACGUGUAGGGUCUUGUAUGUACCGUAUGAAUAAGCAUCGGCUAACUCCGUG